UUCCUGGUAGUCCAGUGGCUAAGACUCUGCACUUACACUGCAGAGGGUGCAGGUUCAAUCCCUGGUCAGGAAA